rnacentral:rRNA from 1 species
AGCGAACGCUGGCGGCAGGCCUAACACAUGCAAGUCGAACGAACUCUUCGGAGUUAGUGGCGGACGGGUGAGUAACACGUGGGAACGUGCCUUUUGGUUCGGAAUAACUCAGGGAAACUUGUGCUAAUACCGACUGUGCCCUUCGGGGGAAAGAUUUAUCGCCAUUAGAGCGGCCCGCGUCUGAUUAGCUAGUUGGUGAGGUAACGGCUCACCAAGGCGACGAUCAGUAGCUGGUCUGAGAGGAUGACCAGCCACACUGGGACUGAGACACGGCCCAGACUCCUACGGGAAGCAGCAGUGGGGAAUCUUGCGCAAUGGGCGAAAGCCUGACGCAGCCAUGACGCGUGAAUGAUGAAGGUCUUAGGAUUGUAAAAUUCUUUCACCGGGGACGAUAAUGACGGUACCAGGAGAAGAAGCCCCGGCUAACUUCGUG